rnacentral:lncRNA from 1 species
GGGAGGAGGGAGGGAGUUCCUCCCGGCUGCAGGCUGAGGGUCUGGAGCCCAGAGGCGGGGCUGCGCCCCAGGAGGAGGUUCCUUUGGAGAGGGAAACGCCACUUCCUGGUGACCGCGGUGGCAGGGCCUCCUCUGGCCAGGCCACAUCAGGGAGGAAGAGGCAGGUGUCCCCUUCGACAGAAGCGGGGCAGGAAGGAGGCGGUGACAGGUGGGUGCGGGCGGCUCCCGGAGGAGUCGUCAGCCCCGGGAAGAGGUGGGCAGCUGGCAGCAGGCGGUUCCUUCCAAGAUUUGGAACAAAAAUCUAUCAAAUGAUACAUCGUUAUUACAGGGGAAAAAAGAAAUGGUGAGAGGGAAGGAAAAAAGGAGGAAAAAGAGGAAAUUGGCC